UACGUAGGGUCCAAGCGUUGUCCGGAUUUAUUGGGCGUAAAGAGCUCGUAGGCGGUUCCGUAAGUCGGAUGUGAAAACUCGGGGCUCAACCCCGAGACGCCAUCCGAUACUGCGGUGACUUGAGUCUGGUAGGGGAACACGGAAUUCCUGGUGUAGCGGUGAAAAUGCGCAGAUAUCAGGAGGAACACCGAUGGUCGAAGGCAGUGUUCCGUGGGCCAGUACUGACGCUGAGGAGCGAAAGGCGUGGGGAGCAAAACAGG
rnacentral:rRNA from 1 species